GCUGCGUACAUCCCACACAAGGACUUCAAAUGAUCCAGAAUAGAAGAUGCUUUUAUUGAGACCUGUAAGGUCUACAAUGAAUGAAUUGAUAUGAAUAACAAUUUAUGUGAGGGGCAUGUGUUUUGACCAGUCCUGGUUGUGUUGUUUUAUUCAGUACUAAUAUUGUACCACAUUUGAUGGCAAGGAAAUUAAAAUUUUUUAUGGUGUGCAUAUUUGUGUCAGGAUGUGAAAGCAAAUAAAAGAAAAAUAAGGCGAAAUUAUAUUUUAAUGAGUCGGAAAAAUUGUGGUUGAA
rnacentral:misc_RNA from 1 species